ACCAAACGCACCCUCCCUUAUCUCUCCUCCUCUCUUUCCUCUUCCACGAAAUACCCUAGGCGCCGCUUCAUCAACUCCCUCCCUCUCUCAUGCCAGAAAUGGAAAAUACGCAGAGGUCUCAGACCUACAUCAGCUUUUGUACGACUAUUUUCAUGAUACAAUUAAUGUUCAGCUUCGUUUUCACUCAACCUCACCCCAAAUGCGGUAUUAGUCCUCUUCCUUUUUACUUUCCCUUUAAUUUUCAAGUCAAACAAGACGAUUUUCUGUGUUUUGUUGCUAAAUUGUGAUUGUACAAACUCGAUUUUCAUUAGUUCACAAGGGAUUGGUGCGGAUCGACCUAGUCAGAUCUGACCGUAUACAUUUGUUCUCUGUAGAUCCUGGUCGAUAAAUUCGUGUAUUGAAAGUUUGCAUUUGAAAAAACCAUGUUGUCCCACAUCGGUAUUUUUACGGUUUUCAAAUAGAACCCCCAACCCUCACAAUUGGAUAAGUUUUCACAACCUCAGAGCCUGAUUUUUGAGUAUUAAAACUCGAGAUUUAGGCUUCUCAGUAAAAUUUUAAGGCUUAGCUAUUUUUUUUUAUAGUUCGAGUCUCCUUAGUUCUAAAAAUUUGUGUUUUUUCCUUUUUGUGUGGUUUGAGUUGGAGAUUUGGAAGCAAGAGGGCUCCAAAAUCCCUUCUUGACAAGGUUGUGCCCAAAAAAGUAAUGGACGGGCCUAGCCCAAUUCUGAUUCAGUGAAGAGUAGCCCAGAUUUCAAUAAGUCUAAAAGCAGCAAAAGGGGGAACACGGGUACUUUUCUUUUGUGACCAGUCUUGGGCUGUUAAAGCCCAAUGACUUGAAGUAGUAUAUAUAUGUGUAUGUGAGUUUUAGGUGUGUUAUAUAUAUAUAUAUAUAUGAUAAGUUCAGUGAAUUAAAUCUAAGCGGGUCCUUUUUUCUUUUUCCUCCCUUCCACUACAUUCGGGUCAAGUCGAAGCCAACCUGUUGGGCCAAGGCCUAACAGGCAAUUCUUUCAUCGUCAUAGAGUCCAAUAAAGAUGAAAUGGAAGCUAAUAUACAUUAAAUACAUAGAAGGCCCAACCAUGGAUAAAAAUGGCCAACUAGGGGCUUGGUACGCCCCUAGCCUGCCCUUUCCUUUUUACUUUAUUUAUUCAUGCUUUCUUUUAUUUAUAAUUUUGAUGUAUUUGCACUUGUAAAUAUUUGUAAAAAAUGCUUACAUAUAUUGGAAUCCUUAUGUUUUGAA